UACAGAGGGUGCAAGCGUUAAUCGGAAUUACUGGGCGUAAAGCGUGCGUAGACGGUUGCGUAAGUCAGAUGUGAAAGCCCCGGGCUCAACCUGGGAAUUGCAUUUGAGACUGCGUAGCUAGGGUGCGGAAGAGGGAAGCGGAAUUUCCGGUGUAGCGGUGAAAUGCGUAGAUAUCUGGAGGAAUACCGGUGGCGAAGGCGGCAUCCUGGACCAUUACUGACGCUGAGGCGCGAAAGCUAGGGGAGCAAACGGG
rnacentral:rRNA from 1 species